rnacentral:rRNA from 1 species
GUGAACGCUGGCGGUAGGCCUAACACAUGCAAGUCGAACGGCAACACAGUAAGAGCUUGCUCUUACGGGUGGCGAGUGGCGGACGGGUGAGGAAUACAUCGGAAUCUACUUUUUCGUGGGGGAUAACGUAGGGAAACUUACGCUAAUACCGCAUACGACCUACGGGUGAAAGCAGGGGAUCUUCGGACCCUGCGCGAUUGAAUGAGCCGAUGUCGGAUUAGCUAGUUGGCGGGGUAAAGGCCCACCAAGGCGACGAUCCGUAGCUGGUCUGAGAGGAUGAUCAGCCACACUGGAACUGAGACACGGUCCAGACUCCUACGGGAGGCAGCAGUGGGGAAUAUUGGACAAUGGGCGCAAGCCUGAUCCAGCCAUACCGCGUGGGUGAAGAAGGCCUUCGGGUUGUAAAGCCCUUUUGUUGGGAAAGAAAAGCAGCAGGUUAAUACCCCGCUGUUCUGACGGUACCCAAAGAAUAAGCACCGGCUAACUUCGUG